UACGGAGGGAGCUAGCGUUGUUCGGAAUUACUGGGCGUAAAGCGCACGUAGGCGGCUUUGUAAGUUAGAGGUGAAAGCCCGGGGCUCAACCCCGGAAUUGCCUUUAAGACUGCAUCGCUUGAAUCCGGGAGAGGUGAGUGGAAUUCCGAGUGUAGAGGUGAAAUUCGUAGAUAUUCGGAAGAACCCCAGUGGCGAAGGCGGCUCACUGGACCGGUAUUGACGCUGAGGUGCGAAAGCGUGGGAGCAAACAGG
rnacentral:rRNA from 1 species